CCGGUCGUGCGGGGUGUUCCGCAGGGGU
rnacentral:sRNA from 1 species